rnacentral:rRNA from 1 species
AACGAACGCUGGCGGCAUGCCUAACACAUGCAAGUCGAGCGCCCGUAGCAAUACGGGAGCGGCGCACGGGUGAGUAACGCGUGGGAACCUGCCCAGAGGUUCGGGACAACCGCGGGAAACUGCGGCUGAUACCGGAUGAUACCUGAGGGUCAAAGAUUUAUCGCCUUUGGAGGGGCCCGCGUCGGAUUAGGUAGUUGGUGGGGUAACGGCCUACCAAGCCUAUGAUCCGUAACUGGUCUGAGAGGAUGACCAGUCACACUGGGACUGAGACACGGCCCAGACUCCUACGGGAGGCAGCAGUGGGGAGUAUUGGACAAUGGGGGGCAACCCUGAUCCAGCAAUGCCGCGUGGGUGAUGAAGGCCUUCGGUUGUAAGCCUUCGGCGGGGACGGAUGAUGACGGUACCCGCAGAAGAAGACCCCGGCUAACUUCGUGCCAGCAGCCGCGGU